AACGAACGCUGGCGGCAUGCCUAACACAUGCGAGUCGAACGAGACCUUCGGGUCUAGUGGCGCACGGGUGCGUAACGCGUGGGAACCUGCCCUUAGGUUCGGAAUAACUCCCCGAAAGGGGUGCUAAUACCGGAUAAUGUCUUCGGACCAAAGAUUUAUCGCCUUUGGAUGGGCCCGCGUUGGAUUAGCUAGUUGGUAGGGUAAAAGCCUACCAAGGCGACGAUCCAUAGCUGGUCUGAGAGGAUGAUCAGCCACACUGGGACUGAGACACGGCCCAGACUCCUACGGGAGGCAGCAGUGGGGAAUAUUGGACAAUGGACGAAAGCCUGAUCCAGCAAUGCCGCGUGAGUGAUGAAGGCCUUAGGGUUGUAAAGCUCUUUUACCCGGGAUGAUAAUGACAGUACCGGGAGAAUAAGCGCCGGCUAACUCCGUG
rnacentral:rRNA from 1 species